rnacentral:lncRNA from 1 species
AUGGAAUGGAAUGGAAUGGAUUGGAAUGGAAUGCAAUGGAAUGGAAUGGAAUGGAAUGGAAUCAUUCCGAGUGGAAUGGAAGUGAAUGUAAUCGAGUGGAAUGGAAAGGAAUGGAAUCAACACCAGCGCAAUGGAAUGGAAUGGAAUGGAAUGGAAUGGAAUGGAAUGGAAUGGAAUUGAAUCAUUCCGAGUUGAAUAGAAGGGAAUGUAUUCGAGUGGAAUGGAAACGAAUGGAAUCACCCCUAGUGGAAUGGAAGGGAAUGGAAUGGAAUGGAAAAGAAUAGAAUGGAAACAACUCAAGUGGAAUGGAAUGGGAAGGAAUGGAAUGGAAUGGAAUGCAAUGGAAUGGAAACGAAUGGAAUGGAAUGGAAUGGAAUGGAAUCAAAUGGAAUCAACCCAAGUGCAAUGGAAUGGAAUGGAAUGGAAUGGAAUGGAAUGGAAUGGAAUGGAAUCAACCCGAAUAAAAUGGAAUGAAAUGGAAUCAACCCCAGUGGAAUGGCAUGGAAUGGAAAGGAAUGGAAUGGAAUGGAAUGGAAUGGUACGGAAUAGAAUGGAAUGGAACGAAAUGGAAUGGAAUGUAUUAAACCCGAUUGGAAUGGAAUGGAAUGGAAUG